GACGAACGCUGGCGGCGUGCUUAACACAUGCAAGUCGAACGGAAAGGCCCUGCUUUUGUGGGGUGCUCGAGGGGCGAACGGGUGAGUAACACGUGAGUAACCUGCCCUUGACUUGGGGAUAACUUCAGGUAACUGGUGCUAACACCGGAUGGGAGCUCCUGCUGCAUGGUGGCGGCUGGAAAGUUUCGGCGGUUGGGGGUGGACUCUGGGCCUAUCAGCUUGUUGGUGGGGUAGUGUCUUACCAAGGCUUUGACGGGUUGCCGGCCUGGAAGGGUGACAGGCCACAUUGGGACUGAGAUACGGCCCAGACUCCUCCGGGAGGCAGCAGUGGGGAAUAUUGCACAAUGGGCGGAAGCCUAAUGCAGCACCGCCGCGUGCGGGAUGACGGCCAUCGGGUUGUGAACCGCUGUCGCCUGUGGCGAGGAGUGAGUGACGGUAAUGGAUAAAGAAGCACCGGCUAACUACGUG
rnacentral:rRNA from 1 species